ACACACACACACAUAUUUUGGAACAAUGCUGGGAGUGCAGCCGCAGCAAACCCUCUGGGGGCAGGGGAGGAAGAUUCCUCUUAAGAAACAAAUGUCUGUGCCUUGUGCCCAAAAUAACCUAAAAAUGAAAACAGAAUCUACUUAGAAAAGAAGAGGAGAGAUUGUGAGAAAUAAGUGAGAGGAUUUAUUUUCAGAAAUACCAAAUAUAAGCUGAGUUGUCUAGUUAACAAUAGGUUUAGACCCUAUUGGAAAUAUAUAUGAACCCCUCACCCCAGCACAAUGGAGUCCCAAAUCUCCUUUGGGAGACCUUUCACUUCCUGGUUCUUCUACCCCUCUCCUUCUGCCGGCUUAUUUUUCGCACGCUUUGCAAUGAGCACGUGCCAAAGAACUGAGGUCUCUGCAUCACCUCAAGGAAUGUUCAUUUGUUCCAAUCAGAUUACUUUUUGGCCUUACAUGGGCAUAGGCGACUUCCAGGUAAGGCUGUAAUCUCUGUAGUACUUAGUCAAUGAGGAAUCAGGGGAACAACUUCAUGCUAGGAGAUAAAUUGCCUGCUGCAACUGCCCCGAGUGUGCCUGUCCAUCAGGCACCUGCUCUUGUAAGAAUGUUGAUUAAACCCUGGCCUCACUGUGCUCUGAGUCUCCGCGUCCCUUCUUUGAAUGGGCCAAUAGGCUUAUUUCUCACAAGGCCUGCAUAGGGCUCUGCACUGAUGGUGAGAGUUGGUUUGGGAUUCUCUCUUGAAAUAAAUAAGUGUAUAUAUAUAAAGUAGAAUUGACAAAGUCUGACUACUCCUUUGUACACAAAGGUAUUUUUAAUUUCAGUAACUCAAGUCAGUAACCAAACCGAAAGGCAACUUCUCUAUGGCUUGCUGAUUUCAUUCAUUCAACACUCACUCAGCCCUAAGGUCAGGCAUUGUCUUAGGCAUUCAAGAUGAAGGCCCUAUAAACUCUAAGAAGAAAAGCCACCUCCAGCCCCCAUUUAUAAAUUUAUAAAACAACCCAUUGAAAAAGUGUAUGAUUCAUUUGGCAUUGAUGGAAUUUUUACUCAUAUCUUAACGAUGUGAACUCCAGAGAAUUGUAAAAGAGUGCAGACCUAAAACAUAAUUUUCAUUAAGUUCGAAUGCUUGUUUGUGGAACUAAGGUUAUUAGACAUUGUGCUGUCUUUAUAUAAAGAUGUUGCCCUGUC